rnacentral:pre_miRNA from 1 species
AUGAUACUCCCUCCGUCCGGAAAUACUUGUCAUCAAAAUGGAUAAAAGAGGAUGUAUCUAGAUGUAUUUUAGUUUUAGAUACAUCUUUUUUUAUCCAUUUUGAUGACAAGUAUUUUCGGACGGAGGGAGUAAUUA